rnacentral:misc_RNA from 1 species
GAUGAAGAACGUAGCGAAAUGCGAUACGUAAUGUGAAUUGCAGAAUUCAGUGAAUCAUCGAGUCUUUGAACGCACAUUGCGCCCCCUGGUAUUCCGGGGGGCAUGCCUGUCCGAGCGUCAUUGCUGCCCUCAAGCACGGCUUGUGUGUUGGGCCUCCGUCCUCCUUCCGGGGGACGGGCCCGAAAGGCAGCGGCGGCACCGCGUCCGGUCCUCGAGCGUAUGGGGCUUCGUCACCCGCUCUUGUAGGCCCGGCCGGCGCUUGCCGACACAUCAAUCUUUUUUCCAGGUUGACCUCGGAUCAGGUAGGGAUACCCGCUGAACUUAAGCAUAUCAAUAAGCGGAGGA